GAUGAAGAACGUAGCGAAAUGCGAUACGUAAUGUGAAUUGCAGAAUUCAGUGAAUCAUCGAGUCUUUGAACGCACAUUGCGCCCCCUGGUAUUCCGGGGGGCAUGCCUGUCCGAGCGUCAUUGCUGCCCUCAAGCACGGCUUGUGUGUUGGGCCUCCGCCCCCCGGCUCCCGGGGGGCGGGCCCGAAAGGCAGCGGCGGCACCGCGUCCGGUCCUCGAGCGUAUGGGGCUUCGUCACCCGCUCCGUAGGCCCGGCCGGCGCCCGCCGGCGACCCCCCUCAAUCUUUCCAGGUUGACCUCGGAUCAGGUAGGGAUGCCCGCUGAACUUAAGCAUAUCAAUAAGCGGAGGA
rnacentral:misc_RNA from 1 species